CGCCAUUUAGAAAUUAGCAAAGUGAUUAAACCCAGUUGCUAAGCAGCGUCGUCAAUUAGAAAUUAGCAAAGGGACCAAACCCAAUUGCUAAGCUAUGCUGCAUUUAGAAAUUAGCAAAGGGACCAAACCCAAUUGCUAAGCUAUGCCGCCAUUUUGAAAUUAGCAAAGUGACUAAACCCAGUUGCUAAGCUAUGUCGCAAUUUAGAAAUUAGCAAAGGGAUCAAGCCCGGUUGCUAAGCUAUAUCGCCAUUUAGAAAUUAGCAAAGGGACUAAACCCAGUUGCUAAGCAAUGUCGCCCUUUAGAAAUUAGCAAAGGGACCAGACCCAGUUGCUAAAC